rnacentral:tRNA from 1 species
GCCUGGAUGGCUAAGUGGGUUAAGCAACUGCCUUCGACUCAGGUCAUGAUCUCAGGGUCCUGGGAUCGAGCCCCACUUUGGGCU